rnacentral:rRNA from 1 species
AUUGAACGCUGGCGGCAUGCCUUACACAUGCAAGUCGAACGGCAGCACGGGUGCUUGCACCUGGUGGCGAGUGGCGAACGGGUGAGUAAUACAUCGGAACAUGUCCUGUAGUGGGGGAUAGCCCGGCGAAAGCCGGAUUAAUACCGCAUACGAUCCACGGAUGAAAGCGGGGGACCUUCGGGCCUCGCGCUUUAGGGUUGGCCGAUGGCUGAUUAGCUUGUUGGUGGGGUAAAGGCCUACCAAGGCGACGAUCAGUAGCUGGUCUGAGAGGACGACCAGCCACACUGGAACUGAGACACGGCCCAGACUCCUACGGGAGGCAGCAGUGGGGAAUUUUGGACAAUGGGCGAAAGCCUGAUCCAGCAAUGCCGCGUGUGUGAAGAAGGCCUUCGGGUUGUAAAGCACUUUUGUCCGGAAAGAAAUCCUUGACUCUAAUACAGUCGGGGGAUGACGGUACCGGAAGAAUAAGCACCGGCUAACUACGUG